UUCCCAUGUUAUUGCAUAAUUUUGCUAAACAUUUGUUAAAACUGUUUAUACUUUUUCAUUUGUCGUAAUAGCCAUCGACUGAGUAAACCCUACGCACCGGUCUCUGGAUGAGGCAGUGAAUAAAACCAAGCUGGUGUAGGUGCUCGGACCACUGGAGCCACCUCCUCACACAGCUGGGACUGAUGCCCCUCCACAGCCUACAGCAGUGACUGACUGCAGGGAUACCGGAGCACCCGUCCCUUUGCCUCAAUGCAGGAUGGCAGGCCUCUCCAUACCAAUGGGAAGAUGGCCAGAUGUGUGAGCCUACCCCUGGGAGCAAGGCACUGAGCCCGUGGAAUCCCCAGGGCACAUAGGAGGGAGAGAACCCUGCUAUUGUUUCAGGGCAGAAGUGAACUUCCUGAAGGCUGAGAAGAUGAUUCAAAUGUUCCUUCUGGAAAGGUGGCUGGUGGUGAGAGAGAGGCAGGUACAGGGAACUCAGGACUGAUUUGGGAUUCACUGUCUUGUCCACAGUGACUUAGGCAGCCCAGGACCCUGCCUUUUGUGGGCCAGGAUCCCGAGAAAGUGUCCUCCGUGCAAACACUCAGGCAGUUGCUGCGUGGAUGGUCUGAGAUGCUUCUUGUGAUUGCUCUAUAAAUGUCCCAGGGGGCAAUCAUUUGGAAGUUAAGCUAGGGAAGGGGAGAGGUGUGAUGCUCUAAAGCUAAGCAGAUUCAGGCAGGGCCAGGAAAGUUUUCUAGAAAAGUGGAUUCCCAAUCUGUCUGACCAAGGAAGAGGAGCUCUCUCUGCCUCGCACGUGAUCUGCAAAUGCAUCUCUGUGUACGCUCCCCUCGUCUGCAGCAGCGGUGGGACAGCUUUCAAACAGGUUGGUUGAAUCACCUUGCUGGAUCCGAGCGAGCUGCAGGGCUUUGCUGAGCUCUACUGCCCAAAGGGGCUGGGUAGUACAUUGAAAAGCAUUUGUGUUCUGUUGCCCAAAAGAGCUGGAUUCAAGUCCUGCCUGAGUGGCUUGUUAGUCGUGUCUCCUUGAGUAAGUUGCUUGACCUCUCUGAUUCCUCAAACUCCUUCAUUACAAAAUGGGGGCAAUCACUCCAUAGGGUUGGACUGCGAAUUAAACAUGACAAUGUAUAGCACCAGGCUGAAAGCAGCUCCAAUUAUUUCAUUUAUGUGCGUGUCGGAAACAGAGUGGGAGGGCAGGACCUGAGAUGGGGAUGGAUUGAGGAGUCGGACUAACAGGCAUGUACAGUUUGGGGCCUCAACUUCUAAUUUUCUCUAACAAGGUGCUACCUGGAGAUGAGCUAGUCUAAACCCAGGCUGCCUCUCCAGGAUAGUAGCCUCUGACUCCAGACUCUUCCAGAGAACCUGUGACGGGCUCAGGACAUGACACCCACGCCUCGGCACUGCCUUUGGUAAACAGGCAGCCUGGGGAACGCCCACUUCAGCCCAGGCUCUACGACUGUGCCUGGACACACAACACCAACACGGCAGGAUGACCCGGAGGUGGGGCCUCGGCCCGGCAGCCUGUCUCACUGGCAUUGGUGAUGUGGGCUGAGAAAUGAAAAAUAAUAUCCAAAGGGGAAAUAUUUAAGAUCAUGUGAACAAACUCUCAGUAGAUGGAAUUUCAUUUUUCUUUUUCAAUUUUUGGUAUUAUUUAUGUGUUCUUAUAUGAGAAUGUGUGUGUCAGGACAUAAAUGUAUCAAACAAGAAAGAGAAAUCGUAAGCCAUGGAUUCCAGUGCACUCUCUCUCUCUAGGAAGGGAGAACAUCAAUGCGAGAGAGAAGCUUUGAUUGGUUGUCUCCUGUACGUGCUCAAACCAAUGAUCAGAUAUGCCCAAACUGGGCAUCGACCCUGCACCACAGGCACGUGCCCUGACUAGAAUGGAACCCUCAACCUUCAGUUACCGGAUGAUGCUCCAAACAACUGAGCCACGCUGGUCAGGGCCAGCUCAAGCUCUUACUAACUGAAAGAGACCUUGGGCAAAUCCUUUAAUCUUGUUGAGCCUCAAUGAUAGCAUCUAUAAAAUGGAAGACUAAUGCCUAUCUCAAAGGGUUGUAAUUAGGAUCAAAUAAAAUAAUAAAUGGAAAAGCCCUUAGUGAACUGGGGGCAAAAGUGAUACACCGAACAUGUCAAGUGUUGACGGUCAUUCCACCUGAAGCACCGAUAAUUAUUGGGCUGACUUCCUAGGCUCUCUAAUGUACUUGACAUCUGCUCCUGCCUCUUCUCUGCUCAUUCAACCCCUACCUCAGACUCCCUGCUCCAUCAGGUCAAAAGAAUUGAGACAAUGUCCACUCCAUUGUGCCUGAUACAGGCCGGUUGUUCCUCAAUGGUCAUUAAGGGCUCUUAGGGACAGAAGUGAUGAUUAAAAUUUGCUGGUGUGAGUGCGAGGAGUCUUUUUCUGCUUGCUUUGCAACCCCUCUCAAGACUCGUGUUGCUCCCGUCUUUCCCUGAACAAGAGCAACAAAGGAAGAGAAAAGAUUCCUGGGACAGCACAAGGAAUACAAUGCUAACUGCCGUGGCCUCCAAGUUGCCCCACCCACAAAAUUUCCAUAAAAUACUUGACUACUGCAAGAAAGAAAUGAUAGCCCCUCAAGGUUUUCUGUUGGCUUCUUCCUGAGGCACUUCCCUCUCAGACACUGCAAAGGUUGUCGAGAACCAGCUACACAGCACGAGAACCAGAGUCAGGGCACUUUCCUGCCUGGCCAUCUGACUGUAAGUUCACGGUCAUGUGCUCAUCUUGCUUUGAGCAUAAACUACCUUGUCCUAUCAAUUUUGUUUUAUUAAAAAAAUUAAAACCACUUUCCACCUAUAAAGUAAUACAUACUUAUGAUAGGAAAAUUGGAAAACAGUGGAAACGAUAAAGGAAGAGGAAAGAACUAUCCAACAUUUCACGGCUAACACCUCGGGUAUAUUCCCUGUCAGUGUCCUCUCUCAGCCACGAAGAGCAAGUGACGUGUAUACAGUUUUGUGCAUCUUUUCACUCACUAUGAUGACAUGAAGAUUUCCCACAAUGCUAAAAUUCUCAGAAAAAAACAUGGACUUUCAUUGCUGCAUAAUGUCCAUUACACAGAUGAAUCAUAAGUAAUUUAACUGAUUCCCUAUUGUUCAACAUUUAGGCUGUUUUUAUUUUUUCCCUUAAAAAUAACAAUGCUAUUAAUAUCCUUGUAAAUAAGAGUCCACAUCUUUGAUUAUUUCCUCAACAUAAAUGACUAGAAAUAGAACUACUGGGUCAAAAGACGAGGAACAUUUCUGAAAUUCUUGAUAUGUGGUGCUUAAUUGCCCUCAAGAAAAUGUGUGCCAAUUAACUUUCCAUUGAUGGUGUAUAACAGGACUUGCUUCACCACACCCUCACCGGAGCUGUAUAUCAUCGCUACUUUAAUCUUUGCUAUUUUAAUAAGUAAAAGUAGAUUUGCUUAAUUUUUAUGUGGCUAUUUCAAACUGUCAAUCCAGCCAUCAUACUCAUUUGUUUGUUUGCUACUUGUUUAUUAUUUAUGCCCUGUCUACUUCCAGAAAGUGGUUCCAACUGGAUGAUAAGCCCUUCAAGACAGUAACUGUCCCUCUUUGUUGCUUCUGUGACUGGACAGUGGGCUUCACGUAUCUGAAACUUGAUGCAUGUUUGGAAGUUAUUUUUGAACCGUAUAGAGCUGUUCACUAACAGAAUAGGGUAUUCUCUCUUUUGUGGAUGUAUCUGGCUUUAU